UGAGUACAAGAUGCUACGGCAUUGAAGCAGUCUAUGUCAUACUUCCAAGAAAAGCUUGCAAUGUCAUAAACAAAUAAUGCCUGUACCAUAACCGACACAGGUGGGUAGGUAGAGUAUACUAAGGGGCGCGAGAUAACUCUCUCUAAGGAACUCGGCAAAAUGACUCCGUAACUUCGGGAGAAGGAGUACCUUAUUUUAUAAGGUUGCAAUAACAAGGUCCAAGCAACUGUUUACCAAAAACACAGGUCUCCGCUAAGUCGUAAGACGAUGUAUGGGGGCUGACGCCUGCCCAGUGCCAGAAGGUUAAAGAAGUUGGUUAGCAUUAGCGAAGCUGAUAACUGAAGCCCUGGUGAACGGCGGCCGUAACAAUAACGGUCCUAAGGUAGCGAAAUUCCUUGUCGGGUAAGUUCCGACCCGCACGAAAGGCGUAAUGAUUUGGAUACUGUCUCGGAGAGGGGCUCGGUGAAAUAGACUUGUCUGUGAAGAUGCGGACUACCUGCACCUGGACAGAAAGACCCUAUGAAGCUUUACUGUAACUUGAGAUUGAAAUUGGACUUUAUUUGCGCAGUAUAGGUGGGAGACCUCGAAAGUAUUCUUGCGGGAAUAUUGGAGUCAUCAGUGAGAUACCACUCUUAUAAUGUUAGAUUUCUAACUUUGUAUCAUUAUCUGGUCAAAGAACAGUUUCAGGCGGGCAGUUUGACUGGGGCGGUCGCCUCCCAAAUGGUAACGGAGGCGCACAAAGGUUUCCUCUGAACGUGUAGAAAUCGUAUCUAGAGUGUAAAGGCAUAAGGAAGCUUGACUGUGAGACCUACAAGUCGAGCAGGGACGAAAGUCGGUCUUAGUGAUCUGACGGUGCUGAGUGGAAAGGCCGUCACUCAACGGAUAAAAGUUACUCUAAGGAUAACAGGCUGAUCUCCCCCAAGAGUUCACAUCGACGGGGAGGUUUGGCACCUCGAUGUCGGCUCAUCGCAUCCUGGGGCGGUAGUACGUCCCAAGGGUUGGGCUGUUCGCCCAUGAAAGCGGUACGCGAGCUGGGUUCAGAACGUCGUGAGACAGUUCGGUCCAUAUCCGGUGUAGGCGUUAGAAUAUUGAGAGGAGCCUUCUUUAGUACGAGAGGACCGAGAAGGACAUACCUCUGGUGUACCAGUUAUCGUGCCAACGGUAAACGCUGGGUAGCUAUGUAUGGAGAGGAUAACCGCUGAAAGCAUCUAAGUGGGAAGCCCACCUCAAGAUAAGUA
rnacentral:rRNA from 1 species